rfam:Stegodyphus mimosarum contig111164, whole genome shotgun sequence.
GCCUUCGAGGUGUAGUGGUCAGCAUGUUCGAUGUGUAACUGAGAGGUCUGUGGUUCGAUUCCCGGCUAAGGCG